CCGUGAGAUGGCUCUUGAUGAAUAUUUGCCAACGGUAAAAUAUAAAUCAUCAUCGCGCGCGAGUGAAAUAUGGCGGGAGGAGGAAACGUUCGAGAAGUUAUUUGCGUGCACAAAGGUUUAUUUAAUAAGGGAACGCACAUAUUGGCAUUCUUGUCACGGCGCUUAUCGUGGAUGGAGAUCAGCAUAUUUUUGGAAGAAGACGGUUAAUCUUCGUAAUCUUCGGAAGGAUCGCGCUGUAAAUCUCUUUAUAUGAUGAUGCGUCUCUUGAAACGACUCCGCUGCUACAAUAACAACCUCGGACCUCGGGGAAAACGGGAGAAAACAUCGAACCAGAUUGCAUGUAAAAACGGAGGCACCCUCUCCCCUGUGCGGAAGUAGACGCGCGCUUAACGCCGAUGUGAUACGCGCGUCGCGACGUCCGGCCACCGACUGUCGGCUGUGCCUCGAUGGGACGUCGACGCGAUACCCGAAGACGUCCGAGGACGACCGACGCAACGCCUCCGACGUAUCGGCAUAUAUGCGCCACUGUUGGAAAUUCACUGCAAUUUCUCCUAUAGAAUACCAAUAGAAGAAUUGCAUCUGUUAAGCUGCAGCUUUACUGCUGUCAAUCGUCAUCUUGUCACUUUGACGCGAAAACGUUUCCGAAAGAACAAGAAGAGUCAUUUGCCAAGUGACAUUUGAUUGUUGAUACUUGAGUAUCCAAGAAUCGAUGCAGUUUCAAUAUGUGAUUUUUAUUAGAAAACUCAAACUUUAUGCCAUCUGUGUUUAUUUUCUAUGAAAAAAUCCAUACAAAUAAUUAAAAUCUUUAUUUUAUAUUUUAUUGUAAAAAUUUAUUAAUUAUAAUAUGGAAUGUGUAAUAUGUCAAAUACAUUGAAAAUUAUGGCUUAGAUGAAAAAACUUUAUAAGAGGAGUUAAAGAGACACCUUCUGUGUCAAGUAGUCACUGCACAGAUUUAUGCAUGCUUUUAAGUAGUAGCGAUCAAUGAUGAGUCAGACUAUCAUACACGCGCGCAUACAUAUACUAUUCAUUCUAGUAUUUCUCUUUUGCGAAGAUAAAAUAUUGCGUUUAUUAAAUAAAAUUAACUUAAAAUUCUCGUGAUUUUAUAAAGAUCAAUAUGGAUAAAAAAGAAAUUUAAGAAUUAUUUGAUUUUCAUCUACGCAAUCUCAAUUUGAAACGGAGUAUUGCUAUUUUGUAAAUAUCUUCUUAUCGAUCAAGAUUCUACUUUUAUAUGCAAUAAAAACUAAUUCCUAGAGAAAUUUUAUAUUCCUAGAGAAAUACGCGCGUUCUCUUUUUCUCCUAUAUAAUAUAACUUGUAAUAUUUCUGCGACUACAUAUAAAUUUUCACGUCGUUGAACAAGGAUUAAACAAAAAUUCUGUCAUCUUGGUAGAAAUAAUCUUGUACAAACAUAAUUAAGUAUAAUUAACUCAUUAUCUAUGUUGUCGUUUUACUUUAGCGUUAGUGACGGUGUCAUCAAGUAGAUUGAGUUAUUGAUUCAUCUCUAUAAAUAUUUCAUAAUUGAAAUUAUUCAGAGGGAUUUAAGCAAUUAAUACUUUU